AAUGAACGCUGGCGGCGUGCCUAACACAUGCAAGUCGGAUGUGCCGCAAGGUGCAUGGCAGACGGGUGAGUAACGCGUAGGGAAUCUACCUUUUUGUGGGGAAUAACGCUCCGAAAGGAGUGGUAAUACCGCAUGAGACCGUGACCUGGGAUGGUUACGGUGAAACCUGGGGACCGCAAGGCCUGGGGCAAAAAGAGGAUCCUGCGUCUGAUUAGCUAGUUGGCGGGGUAAUGGCCCACCAAGGCGACGAUCAGUAGCCGGCCUGAGAGGAUGAUCAGUCACACUGGAACUGAGACACGGUCCAGACUCCUACGGGAGGCAGCAGUGGGGAAUAUUGGACAAUGGGCGAAAGCCUGAUCCAGCCAUGCCGCGUGUGUGAAGAAGGUCUUCGGAUUGUAAAGCACUUUAAGUCGGGAGGAAGGGCUGUAGGUUAAUACCUUGCAGCCUUGACGUUACCGACAGAAUAAGCACCGGCUAACUUCGUGCCAGCAGCCGCGGUAA
rnacentral:rRNA from 1 species